AUCCUGCGCUUUUCAUCUCUCUUCAAAGGAUUUGGAAUAAGAGGUGGGUAAGGACGGUGCCAGCCGCCGCGGUAAUACCGGCGCCUCAAGUGGUAGUCGAUUUUAUUGGGCCUAAAACGUCCGUCGCCGGUCUGGUGCAUUCGUGGGUAAAUCAACCCGCUCAACGGGUUGAAUUCUGCGAGCACGGCCAGACUAGGGACCGGGAGAGGUGUAGGGUACGCUCGGGGUAGGGGUAAAAUCCUGUCAUCCCGAGCGGACCACCUGUUGCGAAGGCGCUACACUAGAACGGAUCCGACGGUCAGGGACGAAGCCUAGGGGCACGAACCGGAUUAGAUACCCGGGUAGUCCUAGGUGUAAACGCUGUGGACUUGGUGUUGGAAGCUCCCAGAGGGCUUUCAGUGCCGUAGCGAAGGUGAUAAGUCCACUGCCUGGGGAGUACGGUCGCAAGGCUGAAACUUAAAGGAAUUGGCGGGGGAACACCGCAACCUGAGGAUUGUGCGGUUUAAUUGGAUUCAACGCCGGAAAACUCACCAGUGCCGACGGACAAAUGAAAGCCAGGUUAACGACUUUGCUGGAUUGUUCGAGAGGUAGUGCAUGGCCGCCGUCAGUUCGUACCGUAAGGCGUUCUGUUAAGUCAGAUAACGAACGAGACCCUCAUCCCUAUUUG
rnacentral:rRNA from 1 species